AAUAAAAAUUUAAAUUUUGAGUCCAAAAUCAGAAUCAGUUAUGGAGAAGCGGCUUUUUUCUGCUUCUGAUUCUGGACCUUUCAAAAUCAGUUUUCUAAUUCUGAAAAGUAAAAUCAGAUUUGCCACCUAUCAUUUCCAAAUACUCUACUGACCUCAAAAAUAAUUUUGGGCUCAAAAUUACUUCUUAGAAGUUAGACCAAACACCCCCUAUAUUCUUUUCGAAAAUGCUACCACGAGAAAUAGAAAAAAAUUUUACUACAAAAUCAUAAGACCAACCAUAAAUCAACACUCACCAACACUAAAAAUCCACAUAAUAACCAAUUGUCCCCGGCGCAAAUGACGAAGGGCUUGGUGAUUGGUACUCGAUGUCCUAAGUUCGAAUCCUAGUUGAUUCACAUUUCUAACUAAAUUUAUUUCUAAAAGAAAUAAACAAAGUAAAUAUGUCACGCCCCGAGCCCGCCUCUUUGGUCGGAUUCGGGCACGCCAACAGACCACCGAACGGACAGGGUUUCCUCCGUACGUGGACAGCGUCUCCCCUGUACGUCCAAGGCGUCACAAUCCAAACAAUGCGUGAGGUUCCAACCAGAAACAACAUUCAACAAAGAUUACAUAAGGAAGGUAUCGAAAAUAUAAACACAUCUAUGCUAUUAUAAGCAUUCAACUUACAUACAUUUUACAUCACAUAUUACAUCACAUAUUACACUUUUCAUUCUCUUUUAGCUUCCAAAUACAAUCUAGUUUUUAACAAGAUUAUUACAACUUCGUUCUUUUCAUUUCUUUUACAUCCCUAAGUAGCCGACUCAGGCACUGCUAUCUCUGGUCUCGGUGGUAGGGCGCUAUCUACGGAGCUACGCCCUUUCCCAGCGCCGCCGCGCCGCUCACAUGUGAACCCGUACCUCCAAAAACAACACGUGGGUGAGAACUAUUGUCCAUA
rnacentral:lncRNA from 1 species